GACGAGCAUCACAAACGUUAUUCGGAAUUAUUGGGCGUAAAGAGCUCGUAGGCGGUCUGUCGCGUCGGCUGUGAAAACUCGGGGCUCAACCCCGAGCCUGCAGUCGAUACGGGCAGACUAGAGUGCUGUAGGGGAGACUGGAAUUCCUGGUGUAGCGGUGAAAUGCGCAGAUAUCAGGAGGAACACCGGUGGCGAAGGCGGGUCUCUGGGCAGUAACUGACGCUGAGGAGCGAAAGCGUGGGGAGCGAACAGG
rnacentral:rRNA from 1 species